ACUGAUAGCUAAGAUAAACAUUUCGUCUUUAUAUGCAAGCUAGCUGUCCAUCUCCAUCGUCAAUUUCAAAUUGAUAUCCAGCAGCGAGUGUAUGUGGAACCCCCCUCAAAAGAUCUGUCAGGUUGGGUGUGAAGCGUCGCUGCACAGCUAUUUUCCGGUCUCUCCAGAGAUGUUCAAUCGGGUUCAAGUCCGGGCUCUGGCUGGGCCACUCAAGAACAUUGAGGGGGGAAAAAGCCACUCCUGUGUUGUCUUCUGGUGUUCAACCUUCCCAAGUUCUCUCACGUCACCCCGCUCCUCCGCUCUCUCCACUGGCUUCCAGUUGAAGCUCGCAUCCGCUACAAGACCAUGGUGCUUGCCUACGGAGCUGUGAGGGGAACGGCACCUCAGUACCUCCAGGCUCUGAUCAGGCCCUACACCCAAACAAGGGCACUGCGUUCAUCCACCUCUGGCCUGCUCGCCUCCCUACCACUGAGGAAGUACAGUUCCCGCUCAGCCCAGUCAAAACUGUUCGCUGCUCUGGCCCCCCAAUGGUGGAACAAACUCCCUCACGACGCCAGGACAGCGGAGUCAAUCACCACCUUCCGGAGACACUUGAAACCCCACCUCUUUAAGGAAUACCUAGGAUAGGAUAAAGUAAUCCUUCUCACCCCCCCUUAAAAGAUUUAGAUGCACUAUUGUAAAGUGGCUGUUCCACUGGAUGUCAUAAGGUGAAUGCACCAAUUUGUAAGUCGCUCUGGAUAAGAGUGUCUGCUAAAUGACUUAAAUGUAAUGUAAUGUAAUGUAUUGGCUGUGAGCUUAGGGUUGCUAUCCUGUUGGAAGGGAAACGUUCACCCUAGUCUGAGGUCCUGAGCGCUCUGGAGCAGGUUUUCAUCAAGGAUCUCUCUCUAUACUUUUCUCUGUUCAUCUUUCGCUCGAUCCUGACUAGUCUCCCAGUCACUGCUGCUGAAAAACAUCCCCACUGCAUGAUGCUGCCACCACCAUGCUUCACUGUAGGGAUGGUGCCAGGUUUCCUCCAGACAUGACGCUAAGGCAUUCAGGUCAAAUAAUUGAAUCUUGGUUUCAUCAAACCAGAUAAUCUUGUUUCUCAUGGUCUGGGUGCCCUUUGGCAAACUCCAUGGAGCCCACUGUGUUUGGGGAACUUCAAUGCUGCAGAAAUGUACCCUUCCCCAGAUCUGUGCCUCGACACAAUCCUGUCUCAGAGCUAUACCUAUGGCUUAGUUUUUGCUCUGUCAACUGUGGGACCUUAUAUGGACAGCUGUGUGCCUUUCCAAAUAAUGCCCAAUCAAUUGAAUUUACCACAGGUGGACUCCAAUAAAAUUGUAGAAACAGGAUGCAUCAGAGCUCAAUUUUGAGUCUCAUAGCAAAGGGUCUUAAACACUUAUGUAUAUAGGGUAGGUUUAUUUUUAUAAAAUAGAAGAAAAAAAUCUAGAAACCUGGUUUAGCUUUGUGGGGUAUUGGCGACCAUGGUGAUGCACAGCAUGGACGUUACCAGGACAUGACUGUCGGGGCUGAUUUUGGGUCAGUCCCAAAUCUUUUGCGCUGCUGCAAUGGAGUGAUGAGGGGGGGGAGGAAACAAUUUAAUCCAUUUUAGAAUAAGGCUGUAACCUAACAAAAUGUGAAAAGUCAAAGGAUCUGAAUUUUUCUAAUACACUGUAUGACCUUCAAAAUCGUAUACAGUUCUAUAAAAAUUGUCUCAUGAAUUCAAGCAAUGACCGGUUCCUUGAACUUAAUCUCAAACGUUCUGUGUAAAUCCUGUUUUGGGCUAACCUGUGAGGUUUGCUGGUACAAACACUGGGAGUCUUCUCCUAGGACAGAAAUAAUUCAGUUGACCAUUUUACUCCAUAUAGAGGUAAAUGUAUCACUACUGUGAUUUAAUGGUAUGCCGUAUUAAGCUCUCAAGGUAUGCGAAAGUGUGAUUACAUAUACUGCAAAUUGUAGUCAUAAUUGUGAUAAGCAUGUCAAACAUCGCUAACCAUUGUAAUUACAUAGUAAUGGAACCACCAACAAAUAACACCAAUACAGGACAUAAGCGAGGCAAAAAUUUACUGAAACAAAAAUUGUUUACAAAAUGCAUGAAUGAUAAUAUGGAAGAAGUCCAGCGUUCAUUUAUCACAGACACAGGAAAGAGGUCAACGUUCAAAAGGUCAAACAUGAACAGGCCAGGGAACGGUCCCAAUGGUACCCUACUCCCUAUAUAGGGAAUAGGGUUCCAUUUGAGAUGCUGCCAAGAUCCCUAGAGUCAACAGUUUAUAUCUUUCAAUAAAGUACUUAUUACAAUAAUUA